GCAGUAGCCGCGGGAAUACGUAGGGUGCAAGCGUUAAUCGGAAUUACUGGGCGUAAAGCGUGCGCAGGCGGUUUGUUAAGACAGAUGUGAAAUCCCCGGGCUCAACCUGGGAACUGCAUUUGUGACUGGCAAGCUAGAGUGUGGCAGAGGGAGGUGGAAUUCCGCGUGUAGCAGUGAAAUGCGUAGAUAUGCGGAGGAACACCGAUGGCGAAGGCAGCCAUCUGGGACAACACUGACGCUGAGGCACGAAAGCGUGGGGAGCAAACAGGAUUAGAUACCCCUGUAGUCCCUGUCUCUUAUAA
rnacentral:rRNA from 1 species